rnacentral:rRNA from 1 species
CCUACGGGAGGCUGCAGUGAGGAAUAUUGGUCAAUGGACGAGAGUCUGAACCAGCCAAGUAGCGUGAAGGAUGACUGCCCUAUGGGUUGUAAACUUCUUUUAUAAAGGAAUAAAACGAGGCACGUGUGCCUUUUUGCAUGUACUUUAGGAAUAAGGAUCGGCUAACUCCGUGCCAGCAGCCGCGGUAAUACGGAGGAUCCGAGCGUUAUCCGGAUUGAUUGGGUUUAAAGGGAGCGUAGAUGGGUUGUUAAGUCAGUUGUGAAAGUUUGCGGCUCAACCGUAAAAUUGCAAUUGAUACUGGCAGUCUUGAGUACAGUUGAGGUAGGCGGAAUUCGUGGUGUAGCGGUGAAAUGCUUAGAUAUCACGAAGAACCCCGAUUGCGAAGGCAGCUUACUAAACUGUGACUGACAUUGCUGCUCGAAAGUGUGGGUAUCAAACAGGAUUAGAUACCCUAGUAGUC